GGGACUGGGGGUCACUCUUACGAUGCGCGUCGAACGGAGCAGGAGAGCUUGCUCUCCGGAUCAGUGGCGAACGGAAGAGUAACACGUGAGCAACCUGCCCCGGACUCCGGGAUAACAGUUGGAAACAGCUGCUAAUACCGGAUACGAGCUGCGAAGGCAUCUUCAGCAGCUGGAAAGAACUUCGGUCUGGGAUGGGCUCGCGGCCUAUCAGCUAGUUGGUGAGGUAACGGCUCACCAAGGCGUCGACGGGUAGCCGGCCUGAGAGGGUGACCGGCCACACUGGGACUGAGACACGGCCCAGACUCCUACGGGAGGCAGCAGUGGGGAAUAUUGCACAAUGGGCGCAAGCCUGAUGCAGCAACGCCGCGUGAGGGACGACGGCCUUCGGGUUGUAAACCUCUUUUAGCAGGGAAGAAGCGAAAGUGACGGUACCUGCAGAAAAAGCGCCGGCUAACUACGUGCCAGCAGCCGCGGUAAUACGUAGGGCGCAAGCGUUAUCCGGAAUUAUUGGGCGUAAAGAGCUCGUAGGCGGUCUGUCGCGUCUGCUGUGAAAACCCGAGGCUCAACCUCGGGCCUGCAGUGGGUACGGGCAGACUAGAGUGCGGUAGGGGAGAUUGGAAUUCCUGGUGUAGCGGUGGAAUGCGCAGAUA
rnacentral:rRNA from 1 species